CCUACGGGUGGCAGCAGUGGGGAAUAUUGGGCAAUGGGCGCAAGCCUGACCCAGCAACGCCGCGUGAAGGAAGAAGGAUUUCGGGUUGUAAACUUCUUUUGUCAGGGACGAGUAGAAGACGUUACCUGCCGAGUAGGCCACGGCUACCUACGUGCCGGCAGCCGCGGUAAUACGUAGGUGGCAAGCGUUGUCCGGAUUUACUGGGGGUAAAGGGCGGGUGGCCGGGUUGACAAGUCAGAUGUGAAAUCCCGCGGCUUAACUGGAGAACUGCAUAUGAAACUGUUGAACUUGAGUGUGGGAGAGGCAGAUGGAAUUCCAAGUGUAGCAGUGAAAUGCGUAGAUAUGAGGAAGAACACCAGUGGCGAAGGCAGCCUGCUGGACAACAACUGACGCUGAGGCGCGAAAGCGUGGGGAGCAAACAGGAUUAGAUACCCGAGUAGUC
rnacentral:rRNA from 1 species